GGUUCAUAAAGUCUUUAAUAGCCUUGGCUGAUAAUUCUUACAUCUCCUUAAUGGCAUCCUUAACAUCCACCUAAUUUAUUGCCUAUACAGCUAUCCAAAAUCAUUUUUUAAGUGCAUGGCCAGUGCUAGAUUUUCUCCAAGUGACAUAUAUGUGCCUCGCAUGGUUUUUGUGCUCUAUAUAUGGAAUCAAUUUUCUAACUGCAUUAAGAAGGCCCUGCGGCAAACAAGGUUGCAUGUUAAG
rnacentral:lncRNA from 1 species